UACGUAUGGUGCAAGCGUUAUCCGGAUUUACUGGGUGUAAAGGGAGCGCAGGCGGCACGGCAAGCCUGAUGUGAAAGCCCGCGGUCCAACCGCGGGACUGCAUUGGGAACUACCGGGCUGGAGUGCCGGAGAGGUAGGCGGAAUUCCUAGUGUAGCGGUGAAAUGCGUAGAUAUUAGGAGGAACACCAGUGGCGAAGGCGGCCUACUGGACGGUGACUGACGCUGAGGCUCGAAAGCGUGGGGAGCAAACAGG
rnacentral:rRNA from 1 species